rnacentral:rRNA from 1 species
AUGCAAGUCGAGCGAACAGAAAGGAGCUUGCUCCUUUGACGUUAGCGGCGGACGGGUGAGUAACACGUGGGCAACCUACCCUAUAGUUUGGGAUAACUCCGGGAAACCGGGGCUAAUACCGAAUAAUCUCUUUUGCUUCAUGGUGAAAGACUGAAAGACGGUUUCGGCUGUCGCUAUAGGAUGGGCCCGCGGCGCAUUAGCUAGUUGGUGAGGUAACGGCUCACCAAGGCGACGAUGCGUAGCCGACCUGAGAGGGUGAUCGGCCACACUGGGACUGAGACACGGCCCAGACUCCUACGGGAGGCAGCAGUAGGGAAUCUUCCACAAUGGGCGAAAGCCUGAUGGAGCAACGCCGCGUGAGUGAAGAAGGUUUUCGGAUCGUAAAACUCUGUUGUAAGGGAAGAACAAGUACAGUAGUAACUGGCUGUACCUUGACGGUACCUUAUUAGAAAGCCACGGCUAACUACGUGCCAGCAGCCGCGGUAAUACGUAGGUGGCAAGCGUUGUCCGGAAUUAUUGGGCGUAAAGCGCGCGCAGGCGGUCCUUUAAGUCUGAUGUGAAAGCCCACGGCUCAACCGUGGAGGGUCAUUGGAAACUGGGGGACUUGAGUGCAGAAGAGGAAAGUGGAAUUCCAAGUGUAGCGGUGAAAUGCGUAUAGAUUUGGAGGAACACCAGUGGCGAAGGCGA